rnacentral:rRNA from 1 species
UAGUUGGUGGGGUAAAGGCCUACCAAGGCGACGAUCUGUAGCGGGUCUGAGAGGAUGAUCCGCCACACUGGGACUGAGACACGGCCCAGACUCCUACGGGAGGCAGCAGUGGGGAAUAUUGGACAAUGGGGGGAACCCUGAUCCAGCCAUGCCGUGUGUGUGAAGAAGGCCUUUUGGUUGUAAAGCACUUUAAGCGAGGAGGAGGCUACUGGUACUAAUACUACCAGCUAGUGGACGUUACUCGCAGAAUAAGCACCGGCUAACUCUGUGCCAGCAGCCGCGGUAAUACAGAGGGUGCGAGCGUUAAUCGGAUUUACUGGGCGUAAAGCGUGCGUAGGUGGCUUUUUAAGUCAAAUGUGAAAUCCCCGAGCUUAACUUGGGAAUUGCAUUCGAUACUGGAAGGCUAGAGUAUGGGAGAGGAUGGUAGAAUUCCAGGUGUAGCGGUGAAAUGCGUAGAGAUCUGGAGGAAUACCGAUGGCGAAGGCAGCCAUCUGGCCUAAUACUGACACUGAGGUACGAAAGCAUGGGGAGCAAACAGGAUUAGAUACCCUGGUAGUCCAUGCCGUAAACGAUGUCUACUAGCCGUUGGGGUCUUUGAG